rnacentral:lncRNA from 1 species
CUUUUACCAUAUGUCGCUAAAACUUAUUUUGUUACUUCCUUCUGUCUAGCAAAGAUGAAUCUUUUUUACCAUUUCAUUUGUUUUGUUAUUUUUCUUCAUAGGUUAAGAAAUGACAAUCGAUAAGAGUUGGACAUUGCAGACUAAUAGGUUGUCACAUGAAUAUAGAAAUGGUAAGUCAUAAUGAUGUUAAAUAUUAUAUUUUAUGAAUUCUAUACAUCAAUUCUAAUUUUUAAACGGAUGGAUCCGCUUACAAAAGAGCUAUCGGGUCACAUCAAAUUUUACUAUGAGAUGAAUUGUAGCGAUGAAUGUGGGUGGACAACUAAAGAAGUGGAGUCCCAUUAUGUAAGUAAUUUUACUUGUUAUAAUUGUAAAAUAAAUAUUUCAAAAAUCUAAUAUUUUAUUUAUAAUUUACAUGGAUCCUCAGAAUCAAUUGAUCGACCUUUUACAAGAACAAAAUUCUCAACUAGAUCCGAAUGAACAACCUAUGCCUUUAGAAGAAUCUGAAAGUCAUGACUAAGUUUUGGGCAAGAGAUUUAUCCACGUUAAUCAACAGAAAAGUUCAAAGAAGACAAUGUUGGAAAAUUGUGAUACUUGUGCAGAGAAUGCUACUUUAUAGAAUGAGGUUCAAGAUCUUCGUUCUCAGUUGAAAUCUGUGCAGAUAUUCUUAAGUCGAAUGCCUGAAGAGUUUCUUUGACAUAUUCAAUCUGAUGUGACUUCAUCCAGUGGCUUAAGUGGUGAUAAUUAAUAUAUUUUUUACUUUAUUUUUGGUGACGUAGUAAUGGUUAUAUAUUUUUAUUUGAUCGAGGCAAUAGUCUCUAACUCUACAUCUAUUUUUUUAUUUAUUAUUAUUAUUAUUUUUUAUGUUGAGAACAUAAUGAUUGAAUUGGAUGUAUUUUUUUGUCUAAGUCAUGAUAUUUUAUAUAAUUAACAUCUAGUUGUAGAUGAUGUUGGAAUAUUUUAAUUGAUUGAAGGUCCAAGAAAAUUUUAGUUCUUGUUAAUGUUCUUUAUACUUGGAUUCAUUUACUUCUUAUAAUUGUUUAUAGUUGUGAACAAGGUUUAUUCGUAGUAUGACGUGAAUGUGUAAAAGUUAUAGAAUCAUGAAUAUUACCACUGACGAUCAUAGUUCUCGUUAUUUUAAAAUUUUGAUUGUUAAUAUAAACGCUUUACAACGGCUUCUUUCGUUGUUGAAAAUUAAGGCAACUAAAUUUUAGUUGUUUCAACAAUAUUUUACACACACAUAUAAUUAAUGCAACGACAAAUCAAGCAGUUGUUGAAAUAAAUUUAAUUAGUUGUCUAUACUAAUUUUUAACAAGUAUUUCUUUUGUUGUUGAAAUGAAAGACAACUAAAAUUUGGUUGCUUUUAUUGUAUUUUAACGACAAAAAUAGUUAUUAAACAACCAAACAAUUCGUUGUUGAAAAAUAUAAUCAAUUGUCAAUACAAACCUUUUACGACCAAUUAUUUAGUUGCUAAAGUAAUACAGUUAACGAUCAAAUGUAUUUUUAGUCAUUGAAUAUAAUCGCGAACACCUCUUUGCUGACCAACGAACGACCAACUGAUUUUAGUCGUUGAAUGUGAUCAACAACCAAAAAUGUACAUUCUACGACCAUUUAUAUGGUUGUUAAAGGUGAUAUUUCCUGUGGUGCUUAAAUGUCUUUUAUUUUUAUUAAAAUGUGAAACUUCUGUAGAACGAAAAUGAAUAGAAGCAAGAAAUGAUGGAGAAGCUCUCUAGAAAAUUGCGAAAAUCUUGUCGAGCAUCUCAAUUCAAUGACAACAACAAUUUCUCUCUACUUGCGACAAUGGCCAUCUGAGUGACACCCAAGGUUUCCAAUUAUUCAAUACUCAAAAGCUCAUGUAUUGUAAUUGUGUGUGAAUAUCAAUAAUUGAGUGUUAACUGAAUUUCUUUAGUUUUGAAUUAUCUAUGUAUCGUUAAUUGUGUAUAUUUGAUUAUUUGUAGAGUAAGAGUAGCUUUUUCGAUCUUUCGAGAAGAAUCUAGUUCAGUCGGUCUUUUCUUUGGAAGUUAUGAGUAUAAAUGAUUAUUCUAAUAUAUUUUUUAAAUUGUUUUUUAGUUCACUGAGUUGAUACUGGUUUAAUUCUUGUAGAGCAUUUUUGCUAAACUACUUUUUUAUUACACAGCUGUACUCAUUUUCUCAAUUUUUCAACAGGCUUAUUAUCCCUGGGAAUUGUUGGUCUUUGAAUUUUUAUUGUAACACCAUGCAUAUAGAAUAGAUGUUGAUUAGGGUCUAUAAAACUUGUCUAUCUUGACGCAUACUUAUAAAUAAUUUUUAUAUGAAAUUCCAUUAGAAGUCCAUUUUAGUAGGGUGAAUAAGGCACGUGAGGUGAGCAAUAUCAAGUAAAAUGCUUGGUUGACAAGAUAAAAAUUUAUGAAAAAACACAUGCUAAAUUUUAUUCUCAAUGAACUUGUAGCUGGCUAUAUGUAUCCUUCUUCUUUCAUACUGUCCAAUACAUUUAGAGUUUUAGAUUUAGAGCCUGUUUGGGAGUGAUUUUGAGCAUUGAUUUUUUUACCGUUAGGGGAAAAGUGGGGUCCACCUGUGAAAGAAGAAGUGAAAUAUGAUAGCUGAAAUAGUAAAAUAACGAUUAAAAAAUCAAUUUUUUGGGGGAAAAAAUCACUCCCAAACAGGCUCUUAGCAAUAUAGCAGCAUAUUUACUGUUAUGUCUAAUGAAAUAAAAUCUUUUGCAAAUUAUGAUAAAUUGGGACUACUUCUCCCCUAUGGUAUUGAUGUUGCAAGAUUUUAUGCAAAAUUGGUGGUCCCUGCAUCAUCCAAGACCAUAAUUAGAACCAAACUUACUCAUAAUUGGGUUAAUUAUGCAUCCUAAGCUCUUAUCCAACAUUAUCGCUCUCAUCCAAAUGUGGUCGUGUGUAUGAGUGUUGAUCAGUUGGUAUAAGCAAAUUAAUAGUACGGAACUUUAAACAGACCAUAAGAUAUAAGCAUUUGUGGGCACUGCCAUAAAGUACCAUCACUACUUUUCUUAUACACAAAUGAAGGAUGCACUACGAUGUUUGAAAAUAUAUGCCUCGACAUCCAUAAUUUGGUGAAUAAUCGAUUAAGAAAAAUUAAUGGGAAUAUCAAAAUCACAUAUUUAGUCAGAUAUUAAAUUCUCUGUGUACGACGUCCAUUGCCAGGAAUGAAUACUAGAGGCGUCAACAAGGACAAGGGAGUAAGCUUUUCUUAGUUCACCUUCAUUCUGAAGUCGUGAGAGAUUAUAAGUAAUGCUAGAUUCUCUCACAAAUUGGUCAUUAAUCCAAAACACAUAAAUCCUUCAUUUUUAAAAUAUUGCAUGAAUGUUGAAUAUGUUAUAACUUACAAUAGAAGAACUAAAACUAAGUUGAAAGGGAAUUAUUUGUUCUAAAAACAUGAAAAUCAAUUCAAUUCUAAUUCAUAUUAGUAGACAUCAUCUUGUUUCCGAAAGAAAUGAAACCAAAACCUAAGUGGCAAGUAUAAAUUCACUUUUAUGUCUUUAUAAUUUCACAUGAUAAGAUUUGAAGAACAUGGAUUUGAAAAAAUAGUGGUAUAAAUUUAUAAUGUUGACCUUAUCUGAUAUGAGCCUCAGCCUUAAAAAUCCUUACCUAUUAUGGCUCAUUUUUAGCUUCAAUUUCAAUUUCAGUUUAUUCUUUGGUCUAAAAUUCAUCGUGGCCUGAGAUUAUAUUAAGCUCGGUUUGAAUUGGUUUUAUUCACAAUCAUAAUGGACAUUGGAAGGGUUGUUACACCUGUGUCAUUCUUUGUGCUCAUUUUUCUUGUUUCUAUCCGAUUAACAGCAUUAUCGUGCAUACUUCAUGUACGAGGUUGAUUCGUGGAGCAUCAUGUCUGCAGGUUAGGUUCUUCCUCUUAAUUUUGUAUUUCCAUUUUCUUGAUAGGUGAGUUUGUAGUCCAUGUAUUGCAUACUGGGAAUGAUGUUAUGAGUUCACUACUCAAAUGGAUUUUGUUUGUUACUAUUUUCAUCGGCAGCAUUGCCCUGAAAAUCAUUUUUUUGUUUUAAUUUAUUUCAACUGUCGCGGUAAUUUUUAUCGCUAUAUGCUUAGUCACUAAAGUUUAAUUAAGUUUACUUAUAAUCUUUGUUGCAUAAAUUGUUUAUUUAUAUGCUUUCUCAUAUUAUUCAUGCAAUUUCUAAAUAAAUCUAUGGAAAAUAUGCAAAGAAAGAUAUUGAAUAACCAAUUCACUCUGUCAACGAAAGUACAAAUUCUUAUUCUUGUCUUUAAAAGAUUAAGGUUUCUUUGCAUUCUAUGCUUCCCUCUAUUAACUUCAAAAUUCAAGCAAAGCAAUGUCAAGGUCUUGUGCAACGAUCACAUUUUUUUCUUGGUGGUUUAGGAGGAGAGAAGAUCUCUUGAACUAUGUUUAGGUGUUUGCCUACCUACGGAUUAUGAUUAUCUUCCAUCAAUUAGCAAGAACACAUUCCAUUAAAUAUCUUAUUAUUCAUUUCCACUCUGAUUGAGUUUACAUCCAUGCUACAGAUAGGCAAAGUUUAAGUGGGAUAUCUCACGGCUUCCUUUUGGGCCAUUGAGGUAAACUAUAGUGGGAUAUAAAUUGAUGGUGACAUAUACAGUGGUCAUUGAAGUUCUCAAGCAUACGGUAAUUUGAAUUAAGCUUUAAAAAACAUGCACAACUGGAUUUACAUGCCAUCAAUUUAUAUAUAGAAGUGCUUGUAUUUUCAGAUUAUGUUGUCUACUGUGCCUGAGAUGAUGAGAUUAUAAUUGUCAUGUGGAUGCAUAAUGUAUGUUUAUUAGAAUGUGAUUUUGUUAAAAAAAAUNNNNNNNNNNNNNNNNNNNNNNNNNNNNNNNNNNNNNNNNNNNNNNNNNNNNNNNNNNNNNNUUUGGUCAUGUUAAAUCUGAUUACUUUUAUGAAAAAAGAAAAGGAAAAAUUUGAUCUAUUAUUCAUAUGACAAUUGAUUUACUAUUGCUUUUUGUAGGGAUACAUUUCUGAAGAUUGAGACUGGUGAAAGUCCAAAUGACAGGAAUGAUAAAAUUCUGUUCUCUACGUUAUCUGUUUCUUGGGGCCUUUUGCACACUAUGAGAUUUUGAAUUGUGAUUUUGUUGGAUUUUUUUGGGCAAAAUUUACAACUAUUGUCAAAGAGAGCUUAAUUCAGAAAUUUGAUUUCAUCAAUCGAUACUCUAAGCCUCGUUUUAACAGCUAAACAUGCAUUGAAAAUAUUGACAUGCAUGUAUGACAUAUAUUGCUUGAAGUCUUCUUACAAUAUGGUUUUAAUUUGUAUGCAUGUAAUUCCUCCUUGAAAAAAGAGGAUGAAUCGAAAUAUAGUUGCUACAACAAAACUAGGGAGGGGUUUACAUCAAUUUUUAACUUAUUGGUUUAGGGUUCAAAAAACAUAGUGGUUUAGAUAAAUUCAUCUAAAUCAAAUUAAUC